rnacentral:rRNA from 1 species
UACGUAGGGGGCGAGCGUUGUCCGGAUUUAUUGGGCGUAAAGAGCGUGUAGGCGGUUCGGGAAGUCUGUCGUGAAAUCCUGAGGCUCAACCUCGGGCGUGCGAUGGAUACUGCCGGGCUAGAGGAUGGUAGAGGCGAGUGGAAUUCCCGGUGUAGCGGUGAAAUGCGCAGAUAUCGGGAGGAACACCGGUGGCGAAGGCGGCUUCCUGGACCGACACUGACGCUGAGGCGCGAAAGCUAGGGGAGCAAACGGG